UAGUUAAGGACUGAGCGGUAACCGGGACUAAAAAUUUCUCUCAGUGCUCGCUAUGAAAUUAAAAAUAAAAAAGACAAGAAUCUUUUACAAGUUCACGCGUGUUCAAAUAAAGUAUCGCAAUUAUAAAUGACGGAUUAUUCGGUUUCGUUGAGAGUUCUCCGUGCCAAACGAAGAUAGACAUCGGUCGAUGCGAAGUGAUCGGAUAACGUGGAACCUCGGUUAAUCGAAGGUCGGAUAAGCGAGGUUCUACCGUACAUCAUGUAUGCUGCAUUCGUAAUAUUAUGUGAAAAUUCAACAGGCUUCGAAAGCUCAGCGGUACAUAAUAAUUUUCCUAUACUAUCGUUCUUGAUUUUUCAAUGCAGAGAAACAGGAAACCACAGAUAACGAUGUUAUCACGGCUGUGCGACUCUGGUUUGGGUUCAUUUCUCAUUGUUAGGCCUGAGUUCAAAAAUCUCGGAAAAUGUUUUCCCGAGCAACCGUGAGCACAGGACCGAAUUUGGAGAAGAGCGAUGUGAGCCGAAGUCUCUUUUUUAGCGGCCUUUAAAUACGGCCCUGUCGGUGAGCAGGGUUUAUUCGAAUUCUCGGAGUAUCGUUCCUCCACAGCCCUGCGAUCGAUCUUAUAAAGUGAGACGGCAGUGGAAUCGGAUGUAAUAACACGAUGUACAAGGGAUAUUUUCCAGCUGACCCUGAAACGACGGAGUACAGGUACGAUUGAAAAUAUGCUGUAACAAUAAAACGAUUGCCUGCCUCAGGCGCCCGGAUUUUUCCGCUGUAAGGAAAAGCUCACGGUAUAUAAUUUUCUUCAUCGUACGUACAUACGUGGUAAAAAUCAGGUUGACGUAACAUUUGUUGUACAAGAAAAUCAUCGAGCGUAACAGUGAUCGCAGUCCCAAAGUCGAGAAUUGGAACAUGAGAAAUGUCCUUCACCGCGGUGGGUGUGUGUAUGACGUAUUAGUCACGCGUGUGGUAACCAUGUGACUGACGAUCGGGCAAAGUGCGAAAUAUCGCUUGACGAACCUGCAGGAUCUAUUCAGGCUAUUGAACGAAUACCACAAUAAUUUUUUCCCUCGUCAAUAAAGCUGGUUUCAACGAGUCAUUCUAUGACAUUGUUUGAACAAAUUCUCCAAGAGAUAUAUUUUUAAUUGUAUUGUAUCAAUCGUUAGAAUAAAUUUAUCUGUAUUUCUUUCUCACCGACGAAAGUAUUCAAUAUUAGUCAGACUACUUUUGCCAUCAAAGAAUAUCUUCAAUUUGUGACAGGAAAAUUUGAAGAAAUAAAUAUUUCUAUUCUCCCGCACCCAUAUAAUUGAAAAGAUUUGCAACAUUUUGCGAAAUGGUUCUUCGAUAUCACUUGAUGAUG
rnacentral:lncRNA from 1 species